GCCUGGAGGUGACACUGCCACACUUUGGGGGUCCCAAUGUCCCUGUCACAAUUUGGGGGUGACACUGCCACAAUUUGGGGUCCCAAUGUCACAAUUUGGGGGUGACACUGUCACAGUUUGGGGGUCCCAAUGUCCCUGUCACAAUUUGGGGGUGACACUGUGACAGUUUGGGGGUGACACACAAUUUGGGGUCUCAAUGUCACUGUCACAGUUUGGGGGUGACACUGUCACAGUCUGGAGGUCCAAUGGUGACAAUGCCACAGCUCAGAGGUGACACUGUUGCAAUUUGGGGGUGACACUGUCACAGUUUGAGGGUCCCAGUGUCCCUGUCAUAAUUUGGGGGUGACACUGCCACAAUUUGGGGUCCCAAUGUCACUGUCACAGCCCAGGGGUGACACCGCCACUGUCACAAUUUGGGGGUGACACGGUCACAAUUUGGAGAUGACACUGUCACAAUUUGGGGGUGACACUGACACAAUGUGGGGUCCCAAUGUCACUGUCACAGUUUGGGAGGUGACACUGUCACAAUUUGGGGGUGACAAUGACAAAAUUUGGGGUCCCACUGUCACAGUUUGGGGGUCCCAAUGUCACUGUCACAGCCUGAAGGUGACACUGCCACAAUUUAAGGGUGCCAUGGUGACACUGUCACAGUGUGGGGGUGACACUGCCACAAUUUGGGGUCCCAAUGUCACUGUCACCAUUUGGGGUGACACUGCCACAAUUUGGGGGUCCCAAUGUCACUGUCACAGAAUGUGGGGGUCCCACAGUGACACAGCCACAAUUUGGGGGUCCCCAUGUCACUGUCACAGCACUGGAGUGACACAAACCCAACACAGGAGUACCAGGGUGACACCGGAACAAUUUUGGGGGUCCCCAUGUCACUGUCACAGCACGGGGGUGACACAAACCCAACAUGAGAGCCCCACGGCACCACAGCCACAAUUUUGGGGUGCCCAUGUCACAGCAUUGGGGUGACACCAACCCAGCACAGGGGUCCCACAGUGACACUGCCACAAUUUUGGGGUCCCAAUGUCACUGCCACAGAAUGUGGGGUCCCACAGUGACACAGCCACAAUUUGGGGGUCCCCAUGUCACUGUCACAGCAUUGGAGUGACACAGACCCAGCACAGGGGUCCCAGGGUGACACUGGAACAAUUUGGGGGUCCCCAUGUCACUGCCACAGUUUGGGGGUGACACAAACUCAGCACAGGGGUCCCACAGUGACACUGCCCCAAUGUAGGGGUCCCACAGUGACACUGCCACAAUUUGGGGGUCCCACAGUGACACUGCCACACUUGGGGGUGUCCCAAUGUCACUGUCACAGAAUGUGGGGGUCCCACAGUGACACAGCCACAAUUUGGGGGUCCCCAUGUCACUGUCACAGCAUGUGGGGUCCCACAGUGUCACUGUCACAGCAUGGGGGUGACACUGCCACAAUGUAGGGGUCCCACAGUGACACUGCCACGAUUUUGGGGUCCCAAUGU
rnacentral:lncRNA from 1 species